UACGUAGGGGGCAAGCGUUGUCCGGAUUUAUUGGGCGUAAAGAGCGUGUAGGCGGUCUGGUAGGUCCGUUGUGAAAACUCGAGGCUCAACCUCGAGACGCCGAUGGAAACCAUCAGACUAGAGUCCGGAAGAGGAGAGUGGAAUUCCUGGUGUAGCGGUGAAAUGCGCAGAUAUCAGGAAGAACACCUGUGGCGAAAGCGGCUCACUGGACCAUAACUGACGCUGAUGCACGAAAGCUAGGGGAGCAAACAGG
rnacentral:rRNA from 1 species